GAUGAACGCUGGCGGCGUGCUUAACACAUGCAAGUCGAACGGUGAAGGCGGAGCUUGCUCUGCUGGAUCAGUGGCGAACGGGUGAGUAACGCGUGAGCAAUCUGCCCCUGACUCUGGGAUAAGCGCUGGAAACGGCGUCUAAUACUGGAUACGAGCUGCGACGGCAUCUUCAGCAGCUGGAAAGAAUUUCGGUCAGGGAUGAGCUCGCGGCGUAUCAGCUUGUUGGUGAGGUAAUGGCUCACCAAGGCGUCGACGGGUAGCCGGCCUGGGAGGGUGACCGGCCACACUGGGACUGAGACACGGCCCAGACUCCUACGGGAGGCAGCAGUGGGGAAUAUUGCACAAUGGGCGAAAGCCUGAUGCAGCAACGCCGCGUGAGGGACGACGGCCUUCGGGUUGUAAACCUCUUUUGGCAGGGAAGAAGCGAAAGUGACGGUACCUGCAGAAAAAGCGCCGGCUAACUACGUG
rnacentral:rRNA from 1 species